rnacentral:pre_miRNA from 1 species
AAACCGCCCCCUAAGUUUUGCAACUGUAGCAGUUUUGGCCCCCCAAAGCCAAAAAAAAAAAUAAUAACACGUGGCACCUCACUUAGGGUGCCACGUCAGCGUAGACCGGGUCAAAAUUUGUCUUGGAGGCCAAAACUGCCACAUGUGCAAAACUUAGGGGGGCGGUUU